AACGCACAUUGCGCCCGCCAGCAUUCUGGCGGGCAUGCCUGUCCGAGCGUCAUUUCAACCCUCAGGCCCAGCCUGGCGUUGGGGCACCGCGCAGCGCGCGCGGGCCCUGAAAUACAGUGGCGAGCCCGCCUGGACUCCGAGCGUAGUAGUGUAACAGCCUCGCUCAGGGCGUCCCGGCGCGCGUCGGCCGUAAAACCCCCAACUAUCAAAGGUUGACCUCGGAUCAGGUAGGAAUACCCGCUGAACUUAA
rnacentral:misc_RNA from 1 species